GAUGAACGCUGGCGGCGUGCCUAAUACAUGCAAGUCGAGCGAACAGACGAGGAGCUUGCUCCUCUGACGUUAGCGGCGGACGGGUGAGUAACACGUGGAUAACCUACCUAUAAGACUGGGAUAACUUCGGGAAACCGGAGCUAAUACCGGAUAAUAUAUUUAACCGCAUGGUUCAAUAGUGAAAGACGGUUUUGCUGUCACUUAUAGAUGGAUCCGCGCCGCAUUAGCUAGUUGGUAAGGUAACGGCUUACCAAGGCAACGAUGCGUAGCCGACCUGAGAGGGUGAUCGGCCACACUGGAACUGAGACACGGGCCAGACUCCUGCGGGAGGCAGCAGUAGGGAAUCUUCCGCAAUGGGCGAAAGCUUGACGGAGCAACGCCGCGUGAGUGAUGAAGGUCUUCGGAUCGUAAAACUCUGUUAUUAGGGAAGAACAAAUGUGUAAGUAACUAUGCACGUCUUGACGGUACCUAAUCAGAAAGCCACGGCUAACUACGUG
rnacentral:rRNA from 1 species